AACACUGCUUGAAAGCAGUAUUAUUUAACUGUGAUCUUCUGUAAGGUAGAGGUACUUCCCCAGUCGGCCCACCUCAGUAACGAUUACAAUCAGAAUUUAUAAUGAAAAGGAAAUGCCAAAAAAUGG